CUCGAUCAUCACGUUCUCAUUCUUGUUAGAAAAAGAGUAGAUAUAUAUCCCUACUAUGUCUGUCUCUUCUCCCAUCCCCUCAUCACACUCCGAUCAUAGAUUCUGAUCGUAGAUGAAAUCGCUUCUCCAUUAGGGCUUGUCAGAGACUUUCUUCCCUAAUUACAAGUCAUGCCAAAAGCUUUAUGGUGUCAGAAGUAAAGUUUACCGUGUUAACGAGUAUCAGGUUUUUAGGGCUCGUAACACAUAUGGAGUGAAAUCAAGGACAAAACCAACUAAAGAAGACAAUUCUUCUAAGGGUCCAAUGCAAGCACUAGCAGAGCACCGGCGUGCCAUCUCCCCAUGGUUUUAUUUGUCUGAGACUCCUUUGGUUGUCAACGAGAGCGUACAGGCACAACACGGGGGUGUUAUCUUCCCAUGAUUACUAUGGGAUAGUAGUACCCUAUACUUUCAGGGGAAACACAGUCCGUGUGCUCCUUUUAUGAGUGUGCUCAAGCUGAGCACGAGUGGAGCACAACCGAGCUCUCCCCGUGAUUCUUCUGGAUGACACUUAGCCCUUUUUCACUCAGAAGCCUUAAGAAGAGCAAUGUCUAAGCACAACCGUGCUUAGACCGUGUCGAGCCUAAAAAGUCCUCUUUAUGACCCAGAUCUUGGGUAUAUGGAUAUCUUUUGUUUGAGAUUUUUCUUCUCCAGGGGAGGAACUUUCAAGGAAACAAUGAUCAUCCGCCACCACUCGAGCUAAGGAGGCCAAGGGUAAGUAAGAGACACUGGAGAAGUGAAGUUGCCCAAUCCAUGAAGCUCUUGAAAUAUAUUUAAGAAGUUUUUAUGAAAAGGGGGAAAUCUAGAUGUCUCUCUUCCUUAUGUUAUUUUUCUUUCUCAUUUGUAUGAAUUCACUUAAGUUUUAAUGCCUA